UACAGAGGGGGCAAGCGUUGUUCGGAAUUACUGGGCGUAAAGGGCGCGUAGGCGGCCUGUUAAGUCGAACGUGAAAUCCCCGGGCUCAACCCGGGAACUGCGUCCGAUACUGGCAGGCUUGAAUUCGGGAGAGGGAUGUGGAAUUCCAGGUGUAGCGGUGAAAUGCGUAGAUAUCUGGAGGAACACCGGUGGCGAAGGCGGCAUCCUGGACCGACACCGACGUUCAGGCACGAAAGCGUGGGGAGCAAACAGG
rnacentral:rRNA from 1 species